GGACGGUUAGCUCAAUGGUUAGAGCGUCGCGUUCACAUCGCGAAGGUUAUAGGUUCGAGUCCUAUACCGUCCA
rnacentral:tRNA from 1 species